rnacentral:rRNA from 1 species
GACGAACGCUGGCGGCGUGCUUAACACAUGCAAGUCGAACGGGCCUGUCUUCUUUUUUGGGGGUGGGUUGAGUGGCGAACGGGUGAGUAUCACGUGAGUAACCUGCCCUUCGGUCCUGGAUAACCGCUUGAAGGGGCGGCUAAUACGGGGUGGUCCAGUUGGUCCGCAUGGGCUGGUCGGGAUAGAUUCACUGUUUUUGGUGUUUCGGCGGGGGAUGGGCUCGCGGCCUAUCAGCUUGUUGGUGGGGUGAUGGCCUACCAAGGCGGUGACGGGUAGCCGGCCUGAGAGGGUGGGCGGCCACACUGGGACUGAGAUACGGCCCAGACUCCUGCGGGAGGCAGCAGUGGGGGGUAUUGCACAAUGGGCGGAAGCCUGAUGCAGCGACGUCGCGUGAGGGAUGGAGGCCUUCGGGUUGUGAACCUCUGUUUCCGGUGGUGAAGGCCCUGUCCGUGUGGUGGGGUUGACGGUAGCCGGGGAUGAAGCGCCGGCUAACUACGUG